AUGAAAUGAGUGGCCAGAGAUAUCUUGUCUAUGAUUACAUGCCAAAUGGUAAUCUCAAUGAUCAUCUUUUCCCAUUGCCCGAUAAUCAAAGUGGGAAGAAGACAUUGACCUGGCCUCAAAGGAAAAACAUUAUUUCGGACGUGGCAAAGGGGCUCGCUUAUCUGCACUAUGGGGUGAAACCUGCAAUAUAUCAUAGAGACAUUAAAGCGACAAACAUUUUGCUGGAUGCAGACAUGAGGGCAAGAGUCGCAGAUUUUGGAUUAGCAAAGCAAAGCAGAGAAGGACAAUCCCAUCUUACUACCAGGGUGGCUGGAACUCAUGGCUAUUUGGCUCCUGAGUAUGCACUUUAUGGACAGCUGACUGAAAAGAGUGAUGUCUAUAGUUUCGGAGUGGUUGUUUUGGAAACAAUGUGUGGUAGAAAGGCUCUUGAUUUGUCUUCUUUAGGGUCGCCACGGGCAUUUUUGAUAACAGAUUGGGUCUGGUCUCUGAUAAAAGCUGGGAAGAUAGAAGAGGCAUUUGAUCCUUCGUUGUUGAAAGAUGGAGAGUCUACAAAUUCGAACCCAAAGGGCAUAAUGGAGAGAUUUGUGCUGGUUGGAAUACUGUGUGCUCAUGUUAUGGUGGCUUUAAGGCCAACCAUCUUGGAUGCACUGAAAAUGUUGGAAGGAGAUAUUGAAGUUCCUUCCAUCCCAGACAGGCCCCAACUCCCCUGGGACACCCAUCGUUUGCUGGAGAUGGCAACACUUUCAGCAUAUCACCUACUUUAAGUGGGCCCAAAUUGAACCCUGGACAUGCUCAGGUAAUGGAAAUUGGGAAAAGUUGAAUGAUUGACCCCAUAUGUUUUAGACUGCUUAAAGCUGCAUAGAGAAGUUAUUCUUCAUUGGGCAUCCUUAUAAGGAAGUAUGAGUUGGUCUUUGUAAAGUAAUAGGUGAAAAAUGUCCCUCUUCUGUAUAAAGUCUUGCAAGUGUUGUAUUCCAUGUACCACAGAAUAUAUGGUUAUCAAGAGGUUAUUGACAUGACCUCUAAAUUAGGAUAUAGCUCUAACUACGAAAGACAUAUGGCUUUUAGUAUGUCUAUUGGAUCAGACUUGAUCGCUGUACUCUUGGUCUAUUAUCUCAGAAUGUCGGACAAUUACACAGGCAAAUUCAUUUUAUAAGACAGGAAGAUGCUAGAUUUGAUAUCCACAUAUCGCACUAUUCUUGUGUCUUUUCUUCCUUUAAGUGGUGCCUAUUGUUAGACGCAAAAGCACACCCCGAAAUUUCCAUAACUAGAAAUAAGAACACAUAUAAUUGAGUAAAAAGAUCAAUACACUCCAUUUAGACUAUCAUUCUUUAUGCAAAAUACCAACUAUUCAAACUCAAGAACUUCUCCUCUAUCACACUCUAUAUCACUGGCUUAAUGAGAUGGUCUUUCACCCUCUAGCGCUUUGUGAGGAUAAUUAUGUGUGUUAGAGUUAGAAGAGAAAUUUGAGCAUAAUUUAUAGAAUUUCUAGGCAGGUUCUCUCAUUACAGGUCGAGCUCAAUUCAGCUUAUACUAUAUUAGAUUAAUUAAGAAACUUUCUAUCUCCCCUUAUAGAUUAAUCCUGUAAAACGGUAUAUUGCAAUAUCAAUUAGUGUAGCUCAUAUUAGGAAAAUUCUUAUAUUCUCCCACUUGAGCUAUAUAAAUUAAAAUUAAGCUAUAUUAAUUAAAAUUGUAUUAUAUAUGCACACUUUGAUCUAGAUAUAAUUUUUAAUAAUCAAUCAUAUUCCAUAAAGUCUUAAAUAUCGAAUUAUGGCAAUAAUUGCAUGUAUAUACACAAAGCCUUCCAUGGUCAUAAGUGUUUUUAACAAUAUUAAUAUGGAUUCAAUAUAGUAAUAUGACAAAUAGAUAACAUCUCUUAUAGAGAGUAAAUACUUUAUAUGUCAUCAUCUUUGUCAGUUACCAUCAUCUUGCUUUAACUAUCACAAAAACUUGUGCUACUAAAAAAUAUCUUUAUUAUUGCAAUGAACCCCCAUAUGGUUUUUUUUUUUUUUUUUGGUGAAAGGUAAUCAUAAUAAGCUGAAAUCAAUAAUUACAACAAAAAUGGCACCAAAACAUACACUCAUAAUGAACAUGGGCAUAAUGAGUGGAAGGGUGCCGAGAGAAAAAAGAAGGGAAGCUAACAAGGCACAAAACGUGGUUAAGCCGCACAAUUACGGCCACAACCAAAAAGGACUAAACAAAAGAAGGCAUCCAGCCGACCAAACAAAGGCAACCCUAGCCAAAACCAAACAAAAUGCCAUCGUCCAAAGGGAAAGGAUGAGACAAUCGACAGGAAUCAAGGCCAGCACUGAAAAUAACAGCAACGGGCCAUCCUGCACCACCACUCCAACCUGGAAAUAUUAUGGAUAAGCUAGAGUAGAAAAGAAGAUGCAGGGGUCUAUCCCCUAGCUACGUUAAAGUCUCAUGUUUCUUGGGUUGUCUUCAACAUUUGAGAAGGUUAAAACCUUAUCCUUAACCACUUUAAUAAGGUGAUUCUUCACAGUUGGAAGUGUGAAUGUACAGUUCCUAAAGAGAAUCUCAUUCCUAUAUUUCUAAAUAAGGUGGCAGAGAGCCCCAAAAGAGAAUUGGACGAUAGAGUGAUAGAAGUCUUUACCAGAUAGGAACUUUAUAACCCAGCAGAGGUUGUCAGCCCAAGUCCCAUUCCUCCAAGGGAGGUUGCAUCUGGCGGCCCAAGAGAAUGCACAACUAGUCAUAAUGCUACAAUGAAAAAACAUAUGUUUAAUAGAAUCCGAAGUUACUUUGCAAAAGGGGCACACCGCAUCCUCAAUCCUGCCAUGCGAUAAAAGUAAGGCCUGCGUAGAAAGACAGUUCCUGGUUUUAAGCCAAAGAAUGAACUGAUAUCUUGGAGCUAUAGCAUUGUUCCAUAUCAAAGAAGCCCAAUUGACCUAAGGUUUCUUUUUUCUGAUGAGGUGUCAAGCCAAAGCAACUGAGAAUAAACCAUACGUGUUUCCUUGCCAAGUAAGACGAUUAGGAGCCUGCACUAGAAUGGGAAGGGAAUAUUCCCAAGACUGUAAAACUUCUCGCAUGGUCUGACCAGCAGGCAAAAAAAGAUUAGCCACCGUCACAUGCCUAGGAAGGCCAGUUUUGUAGAUGAAAGAGUUAGAAAACAUUAAGUUGAGGGGGCCUCUUGGGUGCCAGUGGUUGAACUAAAAGGAAACAGAGCAGCCAUCUCCUAACUUCCAUAAAAAGAUAACCGAAAAUCAGUCCUAAGGUGGAGGAUUCACUUCCACGCCCAAGAGCAGCAGGUGGGUUGCUUAAUCGCCAAAAAACUCUUCCUUUUAAGGAAGGUCGAGUGAAUUCACCUACACCACAAGGAUUCCUCAUCCGUAAAUAGGAUCCAUAUGUGUUUCAGUAUCGCUGCCUUGUUACAAUCUUUCAAACUACGGAUGCCUAGCCCUCCUUCCUCCUUUGGAAAGCAAACAUCAUCCUAGGAAACUUUAGCACUCUAGGUCAGGACCCUUCCGGAGAAAUUGUCUCAAGAUCUAUUCAAUAAGAUCUAACACUGCAACAUGGAUGAUAAAGACACUAGCCCAGUAAGCUUUGAUUGCAUGAAGAACUGACCUUAUAAGCUGAAGACGUCUAGCAAAAGAAAUGAAACACUGAGUCCAAGACUGGACUCUUGUAGUUAUGCGAUCCACAAGGGAAAUGUAGUCCGCCUUGCUGAGCUGAGAGGGGAUAAUAGGAACUCCAAAAUACCGCACCGGCAAAGACCCCUCCUGAAAACCAACACUAGGAGAAUCUCUCUGCGCAAAUCUACCGAUCCUCUAGCAAGACAAAUCUCACUCUUAUUAGAAUUAGGCUUGAGUCCACUCCAUGAAGAGAAGGUAUCUAUGUCACACCCCGAUCCUCAAGCACGCACACAUCCUUUACCUUUGGUCGAUUUUAAAAGCGAUAUCCAGGACGUAUCGCCGACCCUUUUCAUUUAUUAAGCACAUGUGGAAGCAAUUAUAAUCUUCAGGCAAUAAAACAAUGGGAUAGAAAAGCAUGGUCAUAUUUUUCAUAUUGAAAUUCACAACCAUACUUUUAUAUAGAACAUAACUCAAAGAACUUCACAAAACUAUUCACUACUUUCUAAUUUCACUCUAUUCACAUCAAAACAGGAUUCCUAAAAGAGGAUGGGACCUCAGUCCUCAUCCGGUCGUACUCAGGAUCCAUUUCUGGAUCAUCUUCUUCUUCAAUAAUCUUUCUCUUCCUCAGGUUUCACUUUAGUGUUCUCCUUCUCUGAUUCCUUUUCCUCGGGUUCAUCUACGGACUGAAAAUGUUGUCUCACAACUGAUAUGAGAGUACGUCUUAGCAAGUUCUACCCACUAAGACUCAAUUAGUAAACCAAUACACCUUAGGGCUGCCUAUGCACAACACGAGUCAGAGGACUUAUCUUGGCCUCAGAUUCCACUUACAUAUUAGCAUCGUUCAAUAGGCACCGAAGCAAUCACAUCACAAAUCGAUAUCUCGAUCAAUCGACAUAAUCAAUUUCAUGUCAAUCGGACAAUUCAUCGAUCAUUUCAAUUUAAUCAAUCAAUUCACGACAUCAGAUCAAAGAAAUGAUUAAUCGACCUAGUCGAUUACAUAUCAUCUCAACCCUUUUUUGGUCGGCACAUUCAAUACUAUCUAUAAAUCCGACCAUAGUCUAGGACUGCUCACUCUAAGCUGAUAAAUAGAUAGUAUAGCUCACUAGAAGCUGCCAGAUCCACUGAUCCGAUAUAAUAAUAUGCUCACCAAAAGCUGACAGCCAUACUUUUAUAGUAUGCUGAAAAUUAUAUAUAUAUGCUCACCAGAAGCUGUCAACCAUACCUUUAUAGUAUGCCGAUUAUAAUAUAUAUGCUCACCAGAAGCUGCCAGCCAUACUCUUAUAGUAUGCCGAAAAUAAUAUAUAUAUGCUCACCAGAAGCUGUUAGCCAUACUUUUAUAGUAUGCCGAAAAUAAUAUAUAUGCUCACCAAAAGCUGCCGGCCAUACUUUUAUAGUAUGCCAAAAAUAAUCAUUUAAUAAAUCACCAUUUUUAUCAUUCCCGAUAAAAUAUUUAUGUGUGGGUACACGGUCGGCCUUAGCCAAAAUACAAUAAUUUCCUUUCCAUAAAUCCCAUCAUUUUAUAUAGUCCACCAAAAUAAUUUGAUAUUGGAUGUUCCAUUGCAUUUUACAUUGCAAGAGAAUUUGACAGCACACCCGUUGUGUUCUACUUCGUCUUGCAUAGUAAGCUCUGCUAUUCUAUCUGCAGUUGCCUUUACAAGGGUUUGCACUGGUGAUGCCAGUGACUUCCCUGCUGAAGUUGUGAUUUAAAUGGCUGCACAUGCCACAGGUUGACUCAGAGAGCCGAGGAUUUCAAUGAUAUUUGAACAUCCAUGGGACUCGAAAUAUUUAGUACUUUUCUUGUCUAUCUUCCUUUCGUUAUCUUUGUCCGUAACCAUGUCGAUACGAAAUAGAAUAGUUUUGGUAAUUUGCAAACGUAGGAGAGGAAAUAGCGUAGUUGAAAAGUGAAGUCACUGCUUGGUAGUAUGCUAGGUGAGUGUUUGGUACAAUUUACCAUCAGUUUAUCUGAGGCCAGGGUAACAUCUCACUUUCUUUUUCUAUACAAAAAGGAAGAUCUUGUUCUACUUUCCACGUGAGUAACAAAUCAUUGGCGGCGUAAUAUUUACAAUCUAUAGGCCUUUUAUGGAUGAGCCGCAAGCUCUGGUGCUAGCGUUUUGCCAAUGUCAUGGCUAUUGGAGUAAUUGUGUCUCAGAAUAGCCUCCAUUUGCUUCAUUUCAAAGUUCUGCUGACAAAAGACCGUUCUUUCUUGAUGCUUUGUUUCACCAAAGAAAAUGGUAGGUGGACUUAAAAAUGUUUUAUCGAGAGGCAAGGGUUCGAUCUUUUGUGUAGUUCAACUGAAAUGUGGAGAUCAGAACUCUUUCGAUGCCGACCUUUGAAUGGCAACAGUUCAGAAUGCCAACGUCUUUCGUUGUUUUAUGCCAGCUUAGUUCAGGGCCCAAAUUAGCGGGUAGAUCGUAUGGCGGGCUCCGCAUAUGUUGCUGCCCUUUCCUGUUCUUCAUAGCUUGAUGGAAGCAAAUCGCGUUCUGCAUUUGCAUUUGCGCCCAUCGCCUUCCUCUUACGUCCAUGAUUUCCGCAGGGGUGCAGUUCUUUUUGUACUUUUAACGGGGGAAACGUUUCGUGGAUACGACAAUGAUUUCCGCAGGGGUGCAGUAGUCUCCACGCCUAAAAUUUUCAAACAUCGCUAUAACAGACGACUCCAAUACGAUGGAAGACAAAAAGGAAAAACGAGGUCACGAGCCAAUCCAAACAGGCUCUCUCCAGAUGCAUGUGUCAACAUCAAAUUUCCUGAAGAAAGCGUCCAAACCGCUUACCAUCUUUGAUGUCGUGGCCUACUUCUGGCAUCCAAACUCCAUUCACUCAUGAAAUCUGAAAAACAUAUAAAGCUCAUAUCCUGUCUAUAAUGGAGGCGAUAAUAGGUAUGCAAAGCAAGGCCCGCUGGCUAGUAGUGGUGGCAAACAGGUAGAGAGAUCGGACCGGAUAUUUCGAUUACUUAAAUGAAAUUUACGUUUUUUUUCUUUUUUUGGCCAUCGAAGUUCUUCAAAUGAACAGCGACUCAAUCAAUUUCAACCAAAUUGAUGCCACUGGACCUAAUAUCUGUCUACUUCCACAUUGCAGGAUUUAUAUUGGGGAGAGUAAGUCAUCUGCGAAGGUCCUUGAUUAGGAAGUAACGAUGCUCUUUGAAUAAUUUACGAAGACAAAUUAAAUUUGGGCGGUCAAGUUCUUAAAUACGAGGAGUAUAAAUAUUUUGUAUAUAAGCAACUGUGAAGCUGACUGACCUUCGCUUCGCAUUACCUGACGGAAGAAAUGCCUGUGUAGCUAACCCUGAAAUAAAACUGUUAAAAAAUUUUGGAUUUGUGUGCGUGCAAAAUCAUGGUCUUGGUAUUAGUUAUAAUUUUUUGUUUGUGAUGUGUGUAAGUGUAUGGUAUAAUUUGUGGAGAAUGGAUAAGGGACAAGAUAUGAUAAUUGAAUAAUAUAAGACAUGAAAUAUGAGAAAAAAUAAUUUUAUUAGUUGAGCAAACUGGUUUGAUGAAAAUACAAUGGAGGUCUAAGACCUCUCACGGUAUGGAGGGUUCACCCCCACACACAAGGUGGAGGUAUUACCUCUCACACACAAAUGAUCAACUUCCAAGAUUAAUAUAAAAUUACAACUUUGCUUCUUUAUCUCCUGCUCGUGCGGCUUCUUCGGGUCUUCUGGUGGCUUUUCCAUUUUUCUUCAUUUUUCUAAUCUCAGCAGCUUUUGUUGACUUUUCUUUCGAGAUUUCCCAUGCACAAAUUUCCCACGAGACUUCUCUAGGUUCUUCUCCUUGAGCCACUAUUCUCGACUUUUCUUUGGCUUUUUGUUUGCAUUCCCACGUGGAUGUUGGUAGUUUCUAAAUUUUGUUGAAAAUGGAUCACCAAUUUCUAACAAAAACAUUGUAAGAGACCAUGUACGCAUCAUCCCUCGUGGAUUGAGUGAAUAUGACCGAUCACUAAAUCACUUCGUUUUCUUGUGAAAAUGUCAAAAAUAUAUUCAAAUUUCAAAAGGGCUUCUUAACAUUGUCUUCGAGACAUUUGUUAAGUAUAUUUACUAAGGAAAUAUUUUGAUUUUCAAUCCUGAUUAUAGUUAACAUGAAUGAGGUGUGGUAUUGAAAUUAAAAUCCUUGUGUUUAACAAGUUCCCCCAGUUGUUAAGAAAAAUCCAUUUUCAAAUUCGUACAUUAAGUUGCUCAGUUAGUCUCUUCUAUCUAUGAUGUUCUAAUUCUAUAGUCAUCGCCUCAACUGCAGAACAUUCUCAGGACCUUCCGAUUUAAUAAUUGACCUAAAUUAAAGUGAUUAUUAAUUUUUAUUAGAUUAAAUUAUUAAUUGGUUGUAUAUAAACAACUCCCAUUUGAGUUACUUAUAACUUUUGAUUAUUUUUUUAAUUUAUCCACUUUUCUAUUAAAAUAUCAAUUUAUAUUUUUUUUUGGUUAGUAAUUUCUUACAUUUACUAAUUUAUUGUUAGAGAUUAUCCACAUGAGUUAGCUACCAAUUACUUAUAUUUGUUAACUCUUUUCGGAUAUUUUCAACCUAUAUUAGCAUGGCUCAUUUUUUUUGGACAUUGCUAUUCUAAAUUCAUUGACAACUUAUUUACUGGACAUAGUAGAAUCAUAAUAAUUCAACCCAUUAAAUAUGGAUUAAGAAAUUGAUUUAUGAUUCAUUUUGACAAGUCUAAAGAUAUUGACCAUCGUUUCUUCUCCAACUAGGGGAAAUAACCUCAUGAUAAUGGAAUUAACAGGUUUUCAUCAUAAGUAGCAACUACUAACCUUUUCAACGGAGCAAUUUCAGUACUUGAAGUGUCAAUAGUUUCUCAUAUAAAAGAGUAGGCAAUCAUUAUCUCAAUCAAUUGCACUAAUGUAUUUUUCAUCAUUAUUAGUUACUACUUAUAAACUAUCCUAAAUAUUUUGUAAGUUUCCAUGAGAAACCAUCAUGACCACCAUUUUGUGCAUCUUUUCACUAAAAACCAAUGAGUUUUUGAAAUUGAGUUUAUGGUGUUAUGCAUUAGCGCAAAAUUCUAUUAUUCUAUGUCCAAAAAUAUGAAACCAUUGUUAAAAAAUGUCUCGAAUAAUUUCUCGGUAGCUUAUCAAUUUUUUUAUGAAAUAUUCAAUUUAAUUUGCAAAUUAUCAAUUUAUGUUCUAAUUUGGCAACUUUUGUCAGCAUAACUUAUUAAACCUUCCACUUUACUAGCUCUUAAAUGAAACCGCUGACUUAACCCUUGGAUAAAAAAGUUAAAUGAAAGUUCAUAAUAAUCGGAGAAUUUUUCAAAGAUAAUAGAAAUUAAUUAUUUAAAAGAAAAUUUGAUGUCAGUAACUCACUUCAAUAGAAGUAAGUAACACAAAAAAAAAAAAAAAUUCAAAUAAACAAGAGCUGGUAAUUUGAUUAGAGAAAAUUUUUGAUUAAAAAAUAAAAACAAAAUAAACAUUGGUAGAUAACUCGAGCGAGAAUUGAUAACUCAAAUUCUUUGAUUAUUUAACUAAAAAAAUAUCGGCAAGUCAUCAAAAUUAUGGUUAGUAAAUUCAUAUAGGAGUAGAUAAAUUUAGAGUUUUGAUGAUUAAAAAAAAGGCAAAUAAAAGUAUGUAAAAAGAUAAGAAAAAUUAAUAAUUUGUGAUUUGUCAGGAAGAGUCGGUAGAUUCAUAAAAUUUUCGAGAAAUUAGCACCUGGAUGUAAAAUGAUAUGAAAAAUUAAUAAUUUGUGAUUCGUUGGGAAGAGUCUAUAGAUUCAUAAAAAUUUCGAAAGAUUAGCACGUGAGAAGAACUACUUUCUAUGAGGAGAGAGAAAGCGCCAUUAAUGCAUGCAUGCCUACUUCAGAAAAGAGGAGUGAGGAAAAACAAAAAACAGGUCUAUCAAUGACAGUAAAUUUUUAAAUAGAAAAGGGAAAAUGUCACAAAUAGUCCCCAUACUAUUACUUAAUGUGCAAUUUGUAAACUUUCGAUCGGUUCAAUUUAGUCUCUGAACUAUUGAUAAAUGUUCGAUUUGGUCCCUGAACUUUCGAUCGGCUCAAUUUGGCCCUGAACUAUUGAUAAAUGUUCGAUUUAGUCAUUCAUUGCUGUUUUUCCUUCUUUUUUUUUUUGCUUCUUCUCUCUUCCCUCUGCCAGCUCCGGCGAAGGGAAGCCGGCGUCCAAUGAGGGUCACCCGACGCUAGGGUGCUCCUCACCUGACGCCGGCAAGGGGCUCCCUCACCAGAUCUGCGAGGGAGAAGGCGCCGUCGAUGCUGCUCGACGCGUGCACCGAGCCAUGCCAUCCUCGCCACCCUCCAACGCCGUCGUUGAAACCAAGCCCCUGUCCAGCCACCUCGUCAACUAGCCACUAGCCCAGCAGCCUUGAAAUCCCCUGGCUCGACGCCGGUUGCUGCUGCUGCUCGGUCCCUCAACAACCAGCCAAGCUGCCGCCCAAACGCAUCGUUGCCGUUACCUUCCCCGAAACCCUAUACGCCGGGGGGGGGGGGGGGGGCAGCCGGGUUGGGCGAGGGGCUCCCUCGCAGAUCUAGCGAGGGACCCCCUCGCUUGACACCGGCGAGGGCGCCCCUCGCUGGACGCCGACUUCCCUCUGUCGAAGUCGGCGGAGGGAAGAGAGAAGAAGGAAAGAAAAAAAGAAGAAGGAAAAACAGUAACGAAUGACUAAAUCGGAUAUUUAUUGAUAGUUCAGCGGAUUAAAUUGAGCCGAUCAAAAGUUCAUGCACCAAAUCGGAGCCACGCGUGCUCACGUGGGAAAAUAAUAUAUUUUGUGACAUUUUCCCAAUAGAAAAGGGAAAAUAAUAUGUUUUGUGCAGAAAAACCGGUGGGGCCGCUUGUGCUCACAUGAAGCCACGUGUCACUUUCUCAUUAGUCAGAGAGCUUGGCGCUUCGGGAUCAUCCAAUAUUUUCUCAUUCAACGGGUGUUUAACUCCACCUCUGAUGGCGGCGGAACGACAAGGUUGAAACUGUGCCACGUCAAGGUAAGUAGUUUGACCAGACAACGGAGGGGGGUGGCUGCUCCUUUCUUCCGUCCGCCUUUUGAAGCUCCGUUCAUGGCGUCUCCAUCUUCUCCCUCCUCCUUGAACCACCUCCGUCUCCUUCGAUGCUCCCCAUCUCUCAUCAUCACCAUCUCUUUUCUCCAGCAGUAGAGCAAAGCAAGAAUCGCACCCAAGACGUCAGAGAUGAAUCCUGAAUCGGCGUCGCCCGCUACCAUCUCCUUCUCCUUCUUCUUUGCAGUUCUUUCUCUCUCUGCUUUCUCCCCAACUUCCGCCGCCGCCGCCGCCCCCGCAGCGUCCGCGAACCCAGCGACAUGCCCUCUGGAUUUCAGCUACGUGCGCACAAUCCCUUGGGACACUUCGAAUUGCCAACACCCCAGCUUCAAACCCAACGCUUCCCUCAGCGACAAUUCUAAGGACCCCUGUUGCCAGAACCUCCUGUCCCUCUUCGGCGUUGGUUUGGCUCAGAGGCUCCGACAGACUUCCCUCUUCGAACUCCCAGACCUCAACUCCUCCAUUUCUUGCCUCCAAGGCAUCCAAUCCGCCCUCACUUCUCUCGCUCUCCCCACCGAUCUUGUUUCCUACUGCCUCGACCCUUCGCAGUUCUUCAUUACGCCCAAUAGUUGUGCCCACAUUCAUUCUACGCAGGACUGGGUCAGGGAACUCGGCAACUCGACUGCUCUUGAUUCGGCCUGCAAGCCCGACCUCACUGUUUUGACCAACUGUGACCAGUGCGUGUCUGCUGGUUUGAGUAUCCAAUCCCAGCUGCAAUCUAUCAGUGGUAAUAAUCCCAAUACUACGGAGUGCUUUUAUUUCACUGUUUUGUAUGCUGCUGGUAUUGUCAAUGCUUUCGGGCCCGAGAGUUUGUAUGGCUUGCUGACGUGCAUUAUGGCAUUGUCAACCGAUAACCAAGGGAGCUUGGCUAGUAAACGGCACACUAAUCUCGUUUUUGGCUUGAUUGGGGCUGGUGUCGCAGUCAUAGUCAUGUCUUGUUUGCUGGGUUUGUACUUUUGGUAUGAUAGGAUGUGGAAGAGGAGGAGGAGGAGAAUUCAGGGGUCUAAUGCAGAUUAUAGUCUUGACCCGGAGGAAUCAGGGUCUAGGGCAAGACCAAGGCCUAACAUAGGGUCUAUUUGGUUCACAAUUCGUGAUCUUGAGAAAGCAACCAGCAACUUCUCGCAGAAGAAUUUCAUCGGGCGGGGGGCUUUUGGAUUGGUUUUCAAGGGAGUUCUAUCUGAUGGGACGGAGGUUGCCGUCAAGAGAAUUAUCGAAUCAGAUUUCCAGGGGGAUACUGAGUUUUGCAAUGAGGUCGAGAUUAUUAGCAAUUUGAAGCAUAGGAAUUUGGUGCCACUUAGGGGAUGCUGUGUGGUAGAGGGAGAUGACGAUGAUGAUUAUGAUGAAAUGAGUGGCCAGAGAUAUCUUGUCUACGAUUACUUGCCAAAUGGUAAUCUCAAUGAUCAUCUUUUCCCAUCGCCCGAUAAUCAAAGUAGGAAAAAGACACUGACCUGGCCUCAAAGAAAAAGCAUUAUUUUGGACGUGGCAAGGGGGCUUGCUUAUUUGCACUAUGGGGUGAAACCUGCAAUAUAUCAUAGAGACAUUAAAGCGACAAACAUUUUGCUGGAUGCAGACAUGAGGGCAAGAGUCGCAGAUUUUGGAUUAGCAAAGCAAAGCAGAGAAGGACAAUCCCAUCUUUCUACCAGGGUGGCUGGAACUCAUGGCUAUUUGGCUCCCGAGUAUGCACUUUAUGGACAGCUGACUGAAAAGAGCGAUGUAUAUAGUUUCGGAGUGGUUGUUUUGGAAAUAAUGUGUGGGAGAAAGGCUCUUGAUUUGUCUUCUUCAGGGUCACCACGGGCAUUUCUGAUAACAGAUUGGGUCUGGUCUCUGGUAAAAGCUGGGAAGAUAGAAGAGGCAUUUGAUCCUUCGUUGUUGAAAGAUGGAGAGUCUACAAAUUCAAACCCAAAGGGAAUAAUAGAGAGAUUUGUGCUGGUUGGAAUACUGUGUGCUCAUGUUAUGGUGGCUCUAAGGCCAACCAUCUUGGAUGCACUGAAAAUGUUGGAAGGUGAUAUUGAAGUUCCUUCCAUCCCAGACAGACCCCAACUCCCUUGGGACACCCAUCGUUUGCCGGAGAUGACAACACUUUCAGCAUAUCACCUACUUUAAGUGGGCCCAAAUUGAACCCUGGACAUGCUCAGGUAAUGGAAAUUGCGAAAAGUUAAUGAUUGACCCCAUAUGUUUUAGGCUGCUUAAAGUUGCAUAGAGAAGUUAUUCUUCAUUGGGCAUCCUUAUAAGGAAGUAUGAGUUGGUCUUUGUAAAGUACUAGGUGAAAAAAGUCCCUCUUCUGUAUGUAGUCUUGUAAGUGUUGUAUUCCAUGUACCACGGAAUAUAUGGUUAUCAAGAGGUUAUUGACAUGACCUCUAAAUUAGGAUAUAGCUCUAACUACGAAAGACAUAUGGCUUUUAGUAUGUCUAUUGGAUCAGACUUGAUAGCCGUACUCCUGGUCUGUUAUCUCAGAAUGUCGGACAAUUAGACAGGCAAAUUCAUUUUAUAAGAUAGGAAGAUGCUGGAUUUGAUAUCCACAUAUUGCACUAUUCUUGUGUCUUUUCUUCCUUUAAGUGGUGCCUAUUGUUAGAUGUAAAAGCGUACCCCGAAAUCUUCAUAACUAGAAAUAAGAACACAUAUAAUCGAGUAGAAAGAUCAAUACGCCCGAUUUAGACUAUCAUUCUUUAUGUGGAAUACCAACUAUUCAAACUCAAGAACUUCUCCUCUAUCACCCUCUAUAUCACUGGCUUAAUGAGAUGGUCUUUCACCCUCUAGUGCUUUGUGAGGAUAAUUAUGUGUAUUAGAGUUAGAGGAGAAAUUUGAGCAUUAUUUAUAAAAUUUCUAGGCAUGUGCUCUUAUUACAGAUCGAGCUCAAUUCAGCUUAUACUAGUCAGCCUUAUAUUAGAUUAAUUAAGAAACUUUAUAUCUCACCUUAUAGAUUAAUCUUGUAAAACGGUACAUUGCAAUAUCAAUUAAUGUAACUCAUAUUAGGAAAAUUCUUAUUUUCACCCACUUGAACUAUAUUAAUCAAAAUUGUAUUAUGUAUGCACACUUUGAUCUAGAUAUAAUUUUUAAUAAUCAAUCAUAUUCCAUAAAGUCUCAAAUAUCGAAUUAUGGCAAUAAUUGCAUGUAUAUACACAAAGCCUUCCAUGAUCACAAGUGUUUUUAACAAUAUUGAUAUGAAUUCAAUAUGGUAAUAUGGCAAAUGAAUAACAUCUCUUAUAGAGAGUAAUACUUUAUAUGUCAUCCUCUUUAUCAAUUACCAUUCUCUUGCUUUAACUAUCACAAAAACCCGUGCCACUAAAAAAUAUCUUUAUUAUUGCGAUGAACCCCCAUAUGUUUUGUUCUAAUGAUUAACCUUUUUUUUUUUAUGUGUAACAAGACAUAUGUUAAAUGCUAAUAAUCGUAUGCCAUAGUCUUUACUAAAGGUCUACACCAUACAUUGAGAUUUCCAAUAGAUAUAUGUAUUUAACUUAAUAACAAUGUAUUCAGAAUCACUAUAUAUAUAUAUAUAUAUAUAUAAAUCAUAAUGUUACUAAAGAUAAUAAAUACCGAUGUAAACUUUAUUAAAGUAAAAAACGAAACAACUCCCACUAAACAACAGUAUUUCAUGAUGUUCCUAAGCCAAUAUUAAUGACAUGUUCAAAAACACAAUGACGAAGGCCUUUACUUAGUGAAUCUGCAACCAUAUCAUUUAUGGAAAUAUGCUCUACUGUAAUAUCAUUAUUUUGUAUCACUUAUUUAUGAUAAAAAAACUUGACCACCAUAUGUUUAGACCCCUUAAGAUCUCUCUUGUUAAUAAACAAAAUUACAGAGUUAUUGUCUCAAUAUAACCGUAUGGAUCUAUCCAAAAUUAAAUACGAUCAACUCCUCAAUAAGGUUCCGAAGCCAAAUAAUUUGAAUAACAACCGAAAAGUAUGCUACAAACUCCACCUACAUGGCAGAGAAUGAUAUAGAUUUCUAUUUACUGUACCUCUUGCUAACAUAAAGGUGUAUUACAUUGUUGACUUCAUGUCAUCUUAAUAGCCAACAAAGUUUGCAUCCAAAUAUCCUAUUAGUUGCAAGACUUGAACAUGUCUAUAAAUCAGCAUAUAGUCUUUUAUCCUUUUUAAGUACCUCAAAAACUUUUUGGCAAUAACCCAAUGAUUGUGUCCUGAAUUUAACUAAUAUCUGUCUAAAAAUCCUGUCACAUGUUUGGUCUAGUGCAAAUUUGAGCAUAUAUGAUACUUUCAAGUGCAUCAACACAAGUUACAUCCUUUAGUUGAGCUUUCUCAAUGUCUGAAUGAGGACAUUGUGACAAAUUCAAUUCAUCAUCCUUAAUGAGAGGAGUAAUUUUUUAUUUACAAUAUUGUAUACUAAAUCUUUCUAAAAUAUGAUCAACAAAUAUCCUCUAAGAUAAACCAAAUAUAUAACAAGAAUGAUCCUUACGGAUCUUAAUGCCAGUGAUAAAAGAAGCAUCAUCAAUGUCCUUUAUCUUAAUUUUUUUUGAUAAUAUAUGCUUUGUCUCAUACAGUAAUUCAAGAUCCCCACUUGCAAGUAAGAUAUUAUGUACAUAAAGUGCGAGAAAAAUAAAUUUCCUUCUACUGAUCUUGCAAUAUAUAUACCGAUUUACUUUAUUCUCAACUAAAUUAAGUGAUAACACUAUGAAACUUUAAUAACAUUGUGUGGAAACUUGUUUGAGGUUAUGAAUAAAACUUUUCAGUUUACACACAAAGUUACUUGAAUCAUCUACUAUAAAACUUUCGGGUUGCACCAUAUAGACGUUGUUAUCAAAGUAUUCAUUUAGAAAGAUAGUUUUAACAUCCACCUAGCAUAACUCCAUAUCAAAAUGAGCUACUAAUGCAAAAGAGAUUAGAAAAAAUAUUUCUUCACUCUUUACCAUUUCUUUCUAAGUGAAACCCUUGACUACUAGUUUGACUUUAAACUCCCAAAUCUUUCUUUAUAGCCUCUUUUAGUCUUAUACACCCAUUUGCACUUGAUAAGCUCAUGACCUUCAAGCAACUCAACAAGUUUCCAAAUACUAUUAUGUUUUGUAGAUUGCAUCUUGUCUUUCAUCAUAUCUUACUAGAGAUCUGAUUAGGCACAAGAAACAACAUUUAUAUAAAUCACUAAAUCAAUUAUGUAGCAGAUAUCGUAGUCAUGCUCUCAUAAAUAGAUUACAUAAUCUGGUAGCAUAACUAAUUGUCUUCCCCUAAGAGAUCUCUUGAGUAAAGUUACAAUCAUUUCAUUUUGCACCUGAAAGGCUUGAGAAACUUUAUCAAAAACUAUCUCAAUGACAGUAUCUUGAAUCUCAACAAGCUUAGUCUGUGGUGUAAGAGACUCCACAAUUGUCUGCACAAGUGAAAAUAAAGAUACAGUGAUCUCUACCAUACUAUCAUAUUUAAUAGUCUGAGAACAGCUAUUUUCUGCGGCUAUGUCAAACUUUAGAAACUUUACUAUCCGUGAUUUUAGAAUUCUCGUGCCUUCACUGGAAUUAUAAAAUCGAUACCCUUUCAAAUAAUCUAGGUAAGAUACGAAAUGAUAUCGAGUGAUUCUAAAUUCCAAUAUACUUAACAUUGGAUUAUAUAACAUCACUUCUGUAGGACACCCCUAAAUUUUAAGAUGAUUUAAGUUAGAUUAACGUCCAAUCCAUAACUCAAAAGGAGUCUGUCACGCCCCGAUCCUUCAAGCGUGCGAACAUCCCACAUCGGUCGAUAAACUUGCGAUAUCCCAAGACGCGUCGCCGCUCUAUUCUUUCUAUUUUUUUUUUAUUAAACACAAGUGGGACGUACUAUAAACACCUAAUCAAUCAACAAAGAGGGAUAGUAAAAACAUCUCAACAAGCUUUUUCAAAAACAUUACUUCUAUUUAUAAACUUGUUAACCCGAGAAAUUUCACAUUUACAAACCAUUACAAAAACAAAUAAGAGUCAGGUUAACCUAAACUUCCUUAAUGCCAAGCUAAUCCCUCGCCUCCAAAGGGAUCCCGAAUCGCAUGUGAUGGUUCUCCAAACCACAGGCCUAAAAAUAUUUAAACAACAACGGGAUGAGAUAUAAAUUUUAGCGAGUCAACAUUCUACAACAACGGGAUGAGAUAUAAAUUUUAACAAGUCAACAUUCUAAGCCUUGAUUUAGACGCUAAUUCUUCUCGAAGGUAGCUUAAACACACACGUUAUGGAAACUUCCCUUGCCAAUGCACAUCUUGUAUGCCAAUAUCAAUGCAACAAGCAUAAUCAAUAACCAGAAUACAUACUGUCAUGCAUCAACCAUCCACACAUAUCAUGAUUAUAAGAUAAAACCCAUUUUGGCUUGUCUCAUAUCAUGCCUCACAGUUUUACCCCAAACUCAAGCGCCAUGCAACACAAUCAUUUACACGUGUUUUGAUUAUUAUAACGCCUCGAACCACGGCCAACACACAAGUCGGCAAUCUUCCAAUAUAACCGGGUAUCAUCCCACCCCAUCGAACGCAGUAUCGUUUAGAAUCCCUGCCAAGAUGGCAUUCUAAAAAAAUAAAAAAUAAAAAUUUGAUUCGGCCUCAACCUUGACUCGACAUCCAGACCCCCACUGAACAUCCAAUAAAAAUCGAGCAUCACCCCCAAACUUCCGUUGGAUGACGGGUUCGAUUAAAUGACUACACAAGCACACCAAUAGCCAAGCCAAUUUAUUUGUUAUUAAUUAGCCCAAUAUAAAUGAGUAUGUGCUCAAAUAACAAGUUUCGGCAAUUUUUACUCUUAAAAUUGCAGUAAACUAUUUGCACAUGAUCACGCAUUUAAAAUCAACUUGCCAAUUUUUUUUUGGGGCCAAAUUUUGCACACUUAACUUUUAGGGUUAAUGCCCUAAAAAACCCAAAGCUGGUACACCUGUGACAAAUUUACCAAAAACUAAUUUUUUGACCACCCAAAACCCCAAACUAGUACACAUUUGAAAAUUUUACCUCAAACCGGUAUACUUGUAAGAAAUUUACUCUGUUAGUUUCUGUUAAAUUUUACCGUCAAAUUAAUAAAUUAAAUGACACGUGACAGUUCAUUGGUAUAUCAAUUUGUGAUUUUACUUUCCGUUUGUCACAGUUAUACAAUUUUUGUAAUUUUUUGUGGUAGUAAUCCAAUUUAACGGAUGAUAUAUUUGUCACAAAUGUACCACUUUAUGAUUUUUUAUUAUCGAAUAAAUUAGUUUGAAGUAAAUUUGUCACAAACAACCAGUUUAUGAUUUUUUAUAGUCAGCUGGGGUAAAUUUAUCAUAGGUAUAUUAGUUUGGGAUUUUUUAGAGUAUUAACCCUAAUUUGUAAAACUCCAUUAUCCCAUUUAACACGUAAAAUGCGGCGUCCAAAUCAGACAUCUCAAAAUAUGUCAUUUUCUUGAUAAAUAAACCUUUUUUGAAAAUAUAUUAAAUAAGACCUAUAAUUGCACAAUCAUUAAUAUGGCAUAGCAAGUACAAACAAUCAGAAUUAAGCAUAAACUCAUCCAAAAAACGAGCAUAAAAUUUUAUUUAAAGGCUAAUCCAUCAUUAAGUAUACUAAUCGUGAUUAAUUAGGCUAAUUGCAAUUAUUUAAACUAAACUCGAUUAAUUAAUCUAACUAUAAUUAAUUAAAAAUUAAUCGUUGUUAAUUAAUAUAAUUACAAUUAAUUAAACAAAUUACGAUUAAUUAAGACUAACGUUAAUUACUUAAACUAAUCGUACUUAACCUUAAUGUAAACCGUCGUUAAUCGCAAUUAAGGAUAAACUAAAAUUAACUAAUACUAACCGUCAUUAACCUUAAACUAAUCUACCCCUAAACGUUAUUAACUACUUAAUCAAGAAUUAAAAGUUAACUUACAGGUUUUUCGGCAGCGACGGACUCGUGACGACGACAGCGCGAUGGCGUUGAGGGCACGACGUUUGUGGAUCAAUUGGAGACUCAACAGUGGCGGCGGCUUAAGCUCACAACUUGAGCUUGGGUGUUCAGUGGUGACAGCUCGGCGGACAACGUGAGAGACGCGAGCAGUGGCUUGUGGCGGUGGUUCAGAGGACGACACAACAGCGACAAGGUGGUGCUAAUGGAAGUGGCGGUGGACAGUGGUGAUGAGAGUGGUUAGAUGGGGAUGCGGGUGAUGGUGGUGACGAUGGUGGUGGUGGUGGGAUGAUGAUGGUGAUGAAGAUGAGAGGGGCGGCUAAGCAAGGAAAUGGAAGGAGAAGAAGAUGGGGUGAGAGGAAAAUCGAGGGGAGGGGCUAUGGCCAAGUUGAGGGAAAAAGUGAGGAGAGAAGAGAAAGGAAGAAGGAAGGGGGUUGUUCUAGCGAUGGGGGAGAAAGAAAUGGCAUGUAGGGGAGGGGGAGGGGGAGGGAGAGAGAGAAAAAUGAUCUUUUUCAAGAUUUUUGUUCUUCAAAAUCCCAUCACUCUUCACCAACUCCCCCUUAAAACCCUUAGUGCCAAGCUUUUUGUCCCCUAAAUAUCUUCUCAUUCCAUUUUUCUUUUAAAACCAAAAUCUUGACCAACAAAUCACCAUUUUGCCACUGGGUUUGAUUUUUCCAUUUUUGGUCUUCAAUUUUCGUCCGAUAAUUCAUUUUUUGAAAAUUUCAAACUUGCCGAUCAUUCGACAAUGAGGCGGUGUUCAAUAAAUUAGUCCUAAAACUCUCGAAAAUUCGAUACUUGAAAUUGAAUUAAAUUUCAUAGUUAAAAAUCGAUCAGACACAACUUUAGUACGACAUAAACUAUUCGAACCCUCCUGAACCCUUGGGAGCUUUAAACCCCAAACCUAAAUCACUGUUCCAAAACCCGCAUAAACCAUUUGAAAGCAGAAAAUUUUUGCCCAAAAUCAUGGGUAUCCAAAACCCAAACCCUAAAACCAUCACAGAAACGCAACCCCCCUUUCCGUUUCACAGGAAAUCGAGCGUGGAGUAGCACCAUUCGACAGAUUUCGACUCCCAUCCACCCUCUUGCGGAGCUCCCUUCAAUCGCCCACUACCCAAAGCCACAAGAUCUCCACAGAACAGUCCCAAAGAAAACUUCAUCCUUUACUGACGGUGACGCCUACAACCAUCAAUCCCAAAAAGAGUGCCUAAUUUGAUGUCGGAAUGGUACCCGAUGAGGAAAAUCAAUGCCGUCUUGCUGCCCUCUGCAAGAGUUUAGGCCAUUUAUGGUCAACCAAUGAUGUGAUUGAAGUACAACAGGAAAUCUCCCAUAACAAACGCAUUGAAUGCAGUCACACUCUUUGAUAAGUUAUAUUCAAAACCCAAUGUGAAUUUUCAAGCAUUUUGCAACACUAUGAAGAAGGCGUGGAAAUCAGAGGCUGUUGUGUGCUCUCAGAAAGAACCGGGCCUCUUCUCAUUUGUAUUCGAGACAGAGGAGGAAAAGGAGAGAGUCCUUAAAUCUGGGCCAUGGUCCUUUGCAAGCAACUUGUUAGUGCUAAAACAAUGUGAGCCAGAUAUUCCUGAACACUGCUAUGACUUUUCUAGAUAUGAGUUCUAGGUCCAUAUUGUCGGACUACCCCCGGGCUGGAUCUUAGAACAAGUAUUUUCUGAUGUUGCUGGUAAAGUGGGAGCAGUAAAAGAAAUACAAUUAGAAUCUAAAGGCUAUGGUCCCUAUAAGACAGGAAAAACCAAAGUAGAGAUGAAUCUUACAGCCCCUCUUAAAACAGGGGCUUUAGUCAAGAUAGGGAACAAGAAUUUAUGGGUGGAGUUUAAAUAUGAGCGUCUCCCUCACUUUUGUUACUCAUGUGGGCGAAUUGAUCACUAUGCAUCGUAUUGUGAGGAGAUACCAUAUGAAACAACGAACUAGGCAGCAAACAAGGUAGGGAAGUACGGGCCGUGGCUCAAAGCAGAAGUAAAAGAUAAUAGUCCGCAUUAGGAGACAUUUUAUGGCAAGGUUGAUCUUAAUGAUGAAGAAGAAGAGUCUGUAUCUGAAACUCCCGUGGAGACAGUCAAUGUGGAAGUUCCUACAAGGGCAGAAAUUGAAACAACUAACCCCCUUUCCUAGAACAAGAAACGAGUAGAUAGCCCUUCUUCAAUGGUGGAAAGAGAUGGCUGAGAGAUGCUUUCAACAGCCAAAGAGGGAAGUGGAAAACAGCUGAUGUUACUAGAAGGUCCAACUGAUGCAAGACUGAACAUUAUGGGUGAUGCUGAAAAGAAGAUGAUGAAGUAUCAAAAAACAAAGAAACAUAAAAGAGCAGAAGUUUCUACCUCUUCUAUUCUGGAUGAUCAGGAAUUAUUAGAUACCCCUGUGCAGCUGGUAAAAGAGGGGAAGGAUUGGGCUUUGGUGGCUAGCCCUAAUAAGCCACCAAAGACACCAUGAAGAUUCUAAGUUGGAACUGUCAAGGGCUGGGCAACCCCCUGACAGUCCAAGAGCUUAGAGCCUUAAUGGCUCAAGAAAGGCCCGACUUGGUUUUCUUGAUGGAAACCAAAAACAAGGAGUCGAUGGUGGAUAAAAUCCGAAAAAGAUUGAAGCUUCAAAACAUGUUUGUAGAGCAACCAAUAGCAAUUGCCGGGGGUUUGGUGCUGAUGUGGAAUGAGGGCGUGGAAAUUCAAAUCAAUUUGAGUUCAAAAGAGCAUAUAGAUGUGGAAUGUAAGGAUCCGAAUAGUGGACACCUAAUGAGAGUCACACUGAUGCACGCUUCCACAAAUUUUCAAGAGAGACUUCUAUUAUGGCAAAAGGUUCGGAAUUUUCACUCCACUAAUCAACUCCCUUGGCUCUGUAUGGGGGACUUUAAUGAAAUUCUAUAUAGCUAGGAAAAGGUUGGGAAAAGGGAAGCUGAUCAACAUAGAAUAGCGGCCUUUUAGGAGAUGCUUAAUGACUGUUCCUUGAUGGAUAUUGAUACUAAGGAGUGUGCUUUCACUUGGGCUAAUAAUAGAGAAUGUGAAAAUUUAGUAAAAAAGAUGCUCGAUAGAGCUUUUUGUACAAUGGAUUGGAGAAUUACCUUUCCAAAUGCCGAAGUGUCGCCCUCCCAGCGGUAGGUUCUGAUCAUAGCCCCCUAGUGUUGUCUUUACAUCCUGUUUGGGAGAUAAAAAGAAAGGAAUUUAAGUUUGAAGCAUACUGGACGGAGGAAGAAGAAUGUCGGGAGAUCAUCAAACGUUGUUGGGGAAACUACCAGCAUUAUUAUAUGACUUUUUCUCAGAAAAUACAUCAUGUUACACAGGAAUUGACCGCAUGGAGCAAAAACAAGUUUUCUAAUGCCUCUAUCCAAAUCAGAAUUCUCAAAUAGAAACUAACUGAGAUUAUGAAUGGGGAUCCCCAAUUAUCCAGCAAAAAGGAAAGUCAGGAAAUUAAGGAGAAAAUAGAACGGCUUUGGCGGCAAGAAGAGAUAUAUUGGGGUAUGAGGUCUAGAGCAAAUUAGCUUCAAUGGGGUGACAGGAACUUAAAAUAUUUCCACGCUACAACGGUUCAACAAAGACAACGGAAUAGAAUUACUGUGCUUAAACUAAAUGAAGAUACUUGGUGCGGGGAUCAGAAAAUAUUGACGCAACACACAAAAGAUUUUUAUCGCUCACUAUAUGAAUCGACAGGCCAAAGAAAUCUUCAGCCUAUGCUGGACAUAUGCCCAUCUAUAAUCACUAGGGAAAUGAAUGAAAGCCUGUUGGCUCCUAUUUCAAUGGAAGAGGUCAAAGAAGCGGUGUUCCAGCUAGAUACACUCAAAGCCCCCAGUCUGGAUGGUCUCAAUGGACAAUUUUAUCAGUAUUAUUGGGAAGAGAUUAAGUGGGAAGUGUUCAAUCUGUUCAAAAACUUCUUUGAAACGGGUAAAUUUGAUCCCCUGCUCAACAAGACUCAUAUAUCCCUCAUUUCAAAAGUGAAAAAUCCAAAAAGUAUUUGCCAGUUUAGGCCAAUCAGUCUAUGUAAUUGUAGCUAUAAAAUUAUCUCUAAAGUGCUAUCAAAUAGACUGAAACCAUGGCUUACUGAGAUAAUAGCUACUGAAUAAAGCGCCUUUGUUAAAGAACGACAAAUACAAGAUAACAUAUUUAUUGUUCAUGAGGUUUUGCAUCAGCUGAGGAUUAGAGAACGCAAAAAGAAAUUCCAGGCAAUUCUUAAACUGGAUAUGCAAAAGGCUUAUGAUAGGGUUGAGUGGGAUUUCUUAAAAAUGAGUAUGAGGAAGAUGGGAUUUGAUGAGAAAUGGAUUGAGCUUGUGAUGUAUUGUGUCUCCACGGUGUCCUUUAGCAUCAAAAUCAAUGGCGAUCAUACACGAUAUUUCCAUCCCACACAGGGUUUAAGACAAGGAGACCCAUUGUCCCCAUACCUGUUUAUACUAAUGGCAAAUGCAUUCUCCUGGAUGAUGCACAAAGCACUAGAAGAUGGAAGCAUCAAAGGAAUAAAAUUGAACAGGUAUUGUCCCACUCUGUCUCAUCUAUUAUUUGCGGACGACGCUAUACUUUUUAUGGACGGGACAAUCAGAGAAUGUCAAAAUGUGGCAAACAUUCUAAAUCAAUAUUGCUAUGCUACUGGUCAAGCUAUCAAUUUAAACAAAUCAUGAUUUUUUUUUAGCAAGGGCUGCCCUCUGAGUUUGAAAAGGAAUAUGGCAUAUGAGUUACGUGUGCCUAUUAUCGACAAAACAGGGAAGUACCUAGGAAUUCCAUCUGACUGGGGACAAACAAAAAAAGAGAUGUUUUCAUGGAUUCUUGCAAGAGUGAACAUGAAGCUUGAAGGAUGGAAAGAAAAAUUAUUAUCUAAAGCCGGCAAAGAAGUAUUGAUUAAAGUUGUGGUACAAGCUCUUCCUCAGUAUGCAAUGUCUAUUUUCAAAAUCCUAAUAUCAGUAUGCAAAGCCAUUGAACAAAGGAUUGCAGCUUUCUGGUGGAAACAAAAUGAUUCUAAAAGAGGUAUGUAUUGGAAGAAAUGGGAAGUUUUGAAGUCCAUAAAAGAUGAAGGGGGUCUCGGCUUUAAAGACCUAAUUAAGUUUAACAAUGCUAUGUUAAGCAAACAAGCGUGGAGAUUAUUAUAAUCACCCUCAACACUAUGGAGCCAGAUACUAGAAGGUGUUUACUAUCCAAAUGGGGACUUAUGGAGAGCAAAACUAGGACAGUGACCAUCUUGGGGCUGGAGAAGCAUUCUAAUAGGUUGAGACACUAUUGAACCGGAGGUCAGGUGGAUUGUGGGGGAUGGGGAAUGUAUUCACAUCCGGCAGGGCAAAUGGCUUCCAAGGGGAGUAAUAGGCAGCCCGGCGAAUAUAAAUGAUCCUGAGAAAGUUGCUGAAUUAAUGUGCAAUGAAGGAAGAGCAUGGGAUGAGCCUAAGCUUUGCGAACUUUUUUAUGACCAAGUAGUUAAAGAAAUUCUUUCAAUCCCCAUUUCAGCAAUACCACAGAAAGAUAGUAGGAUGAUGUGGACGGGAAACAAGUCAGGCUCCUAUAUAGUUAAAAGUGGCUACAAUAGGAUUUGCUCAUUGACUACUUCUCCAGAUCCCAACAAAGUAACAACUUCCUACCAGCCGCCUAGAUAUUUAUGGACCUGAUUAUGGAGUACUCCAGUCCCUACCAAAAUUAAGUUUUUUCUAUGGAGCAUAUGUCAAAACGCAAUACCCACAAAGGAAAAUCUUUAUAAGAGGCAAGUAUUACCUGAUCCGUUGUACCCACUCUGUUCUCGGCACCCUGAAACAACAGAGCACCUCUUUUUCCUCUGCAAAAGAACCCGACAUAUUGGCUUGAUCCGUGCCUCAACCUCUACAACAAAACAAUCUCAGUAACCCGAAUGGACAAGUGGUUUGAAGACUUCUUUGCUGAAAAAAUCAACUUACCCUUAGCGGAAAUGGUGGCUAGCAUGCUCUGGAUAAUAUGGAAGCUCCGGAACGACCAUAUCUUCCAAUCCAAACCUCCCAAAUUUGAUUCCGUAGCAGAUCUGGCCCACGUACAAGUCAGGGCCUUCUCCAUAUGGGUUCCGAGUAAAGAACAAAAGAGAACCAGCAGCCGACUUUCGCUCGAAACGUGGAAACCGCCGGACGACACUAGCUUCAAACUCAACAUCGAUUGCUCCUGGGUGAAGGGGGGAGAGAAGAACUCUGUGGCAGGGGUUGUGCGCAACUCAAGAGGUCUGUUGAUCGAUGGAUUUGCUACUGAGAUUCAAGCGAAAAAUGCUCUGUGUGCUGAAGCCCUAGCUCUCUCGCACGGUUUGCGUUUUCUCACCCACAGAACAACAACUCACUUGGGAACAGUUCAAGUUCAGAACAGGGGAAGUGCUUGGGAAGUACAAAGUGACAACCAAGUUCUUGUUGAAGCAACGCUGGGCCAGGCCGAAGUUCCAUGGGCUAUGAGCAGCUUGAUCAAUGAAAGCAGAAUUAUGCUACAAAAUCUACCUUUCGUUAAGCUGUCUUAUUGCCCGAGAGAAGCCAACCAAGCCGCCGAUUGGGUAGCAAAAUCGCAUCGUCUUAAGUCCCUUCCCACAAAUUAGUUAUAUACACCUCCCUAUCCUCUUUUUAGUAUUUUAUGCUAUGACCACCCUAUCGUCUUCUUGUAAUCCUUGCUUAUGAAUGAAUGAAUUACCUAUCUUUGACCAAAAAAAAAAAAAAAAACUAUUGGGUGACUUUUAAAGGUCUUUCAUAUGGUUGACCCGCGAUUGAUAAUUUUUUAUCAACGUUUGUGUAUCUUCGAAUCGUGAACAACUCUUGGUUGUCAUGUAAUCACGAGUGUUCAAUUACAUACCAUGUGUACAAAAUUAAUAGAAAAUCGGUUUAUCGUCGUUCAACACGAGUAUCGUAAUCUUGCGGAAUCACCCGCACACUGACUACAUACUUCUGUCGAAUUGAUUUAUAUCCAUUCGCUAAUUGACUUAUAACAAUAUAAUAUUGACCCUUAUCGAUCUUUAUGGUCGAGCAAUAGAUCCCAAAUCGAAUUCUCUGAUCUUUCGCAUUUCAACCCUUUAUGGCCUUACCAAUAAAUUAGUUAAUUCGUUAGUGAUUAGUUCAUAAUGAAAUAAUCAUAAGUACAUCGAUGAAAUAAUCGUUUCAUAUAUUUCAAAAUAGGGGGUCAAAUUUCGAGAUAUCACAAAGACAAUGGAACAACUUUGGUAGAAACACGAUUUUGUAUAUAAAAAGAUCGCUUUCAAAGUGUCACCUCAUAGAAAAUUAGAUAGAUUAGUCCUAUUGAUCAUACUCCUCAUAAUCUUCAUAAGGGCGAUAUUGUGCCUUUCGGCUACAUUAUUAUAUUUAGGAUUUUCAGGUAUAGUAAAUUAAGUUACCGUUCUAGAAUAUUCUAAGUAUUUAACAAACAAUCAUUUAAGUUAUCUAACAUUACCAUACUUGCCAAAAUACUCACUACCACAGUUGGGUUUGAUAACUUUUAAGACUUAUCCCGAUUUUUUUUUUCAAUUUUAGUCCCAAAAAAUUAUUGAAUUUAUUUGGAGAUUCAGACUUUUUCUUAAUCAAGUACAGAAAAAAUAGUCGUCAAUGGUUAUAUUGAAAUAAAAUUUUCUACACAAUGUCACCAUAAAAGGUCCACUAAAAUCAAUGUAAAUGACCUCUAACAGGUCAGAACUUCAUACUGCAAUUUUAUUCUUUAUCUUAGUAAUUUUACUUCUACAAUAGUUUACGCAAAUAUUUGGACAACUUUUAAGAGUAGACAGAAUGUCCACUUUAUCAACCUUUUUACUCUUUCUCUAGACAUGUGAUCAAGAUGUUAAUACAAAACAUUGUCCCUUAAGUAGAAGUGUUUUGAAAAUAAUCAUUAGGAGUUAAACAUAAUCUGUAUAAUCCAUUGAACAUAAUGUAAUACUCAACCUUAUUUGAAUUAAUAAACAUGACAUAUGCUUUUUUAUUUUAAAAAAAAUGUGGUUACAUAUGUUCAAACGUGAUACAAAAACUAAGUUCCAUCUCAAAGAAGAUAUAUAAAAUGUGUUUCGUAAUAUCAGAAUAAAAUAGAAUCUAGAAUUAAAAUGAUAUCUUUAACAUUGACUUUAUCAUUAUUUCUCACGGUGAACUAUGAUUUGUCAAAAUUUGACUUCCUUAGAUUUAUUCUCGUAUAGUAAACACAACAAAUUUGUUGCAUCACUAUCUGGCCACCAUUAGCUGGACGGGCUUAUGAUAAGUAUUGGAUUCGUAAAUAAUGCCAACAAAUCAUUAACUAUAAGCUCACACUUAGGCAAUCAAGUUCUCUAUAUUUAUUGCAAUCUAUCUUUAUGUGACAUUCCUCUUAAUAAAAGGAGCGACAGUUAUCAAUCUUUCUUGAAAGAUUCUAUCUUAGGAUCCAAACUAUCAAAAUGACCGGUGGUUUUAUGAGUUCCAUUAUGAGUAUAAUCUUUAGACUUCAAAUCUACUAUCCUUAGAAUUUAAUCCCUAACAUCACUAAAAUCAUCAUACCUUAUGUUGAAGAGUUAUUACGGAUGUGCCACAAUCUUGGCAUUAGACAAUACAUAGCUUCAAGCCAUCAAGGCUUCCAUCAUCUUUUUAGCAGUGUAGUCAACCGGUAAAUCAUUUUUCAAGUGUUCCUAAAUGGAGAACUUCAUGAAUAAUAGGUAAAUUUGAUUGCUCUUUUCCAAAACAAAAAAUCAUAUUUCCACUACUUAACUUUUGAAUCUCAAUUGUUAUGGAAUUAUCGAUUACAUAUAAGGUGAUUAAUAUAAUAAGCAAUGUAUAUAAUUAACAUUAUGUGAGAACUGUGUAAUUUAAAACUGUAUAAAUACACAUCCAGAGAGUUACAUAUAUCAUCACAUGAUCACCUUUGGGCAAAAUACAUGGCAUGUAAUUAGAUACUCUCCACAUUACAGUGAUAAUGAGAAUAUAUUCUAACAUUCAUAAAUCAUCACUUUUGAGUGUAUGAAUCACUAGGAUUAGUCACUCCUCAACUACAUGUACUCUCUCCAUAAACUAAUACACGAUCACCUCUUUUAGAAGUAUGACCACUUAUUACUAUAGGAAACAUCCCACAAUUAUACGAGACCAAUAUUUCUCAAACCCAAUCAAGUGUGCCAUUUUGACAGUCAUAACUCAAUUGAAUCGUUGAAACUCUUUCAUACUAGAGAUAUAAACUUUAUAUCACAUUUACCUUAUAUGUGAUUUUAGACUUGAUGAUAGAGACAAUUUGUCACUAAAAUUACAUUUCAUGCCAAUUACAUUGCUAUAUUCAUUAAUACAUGUUAAACCUUAUACAUGUUAACAAUGAAUCAAUGAUCUACAUAUUCUUUAUGUGAUAAUAUACAUGUGAGCUUGCAUCUGUAUUUUCAAAAUCAUAGAAAAAUACACAAAAAUACCCUCAAAAUACACGUAUUUAGGUUUCAUAUGUAUUUUCACAUCCAUAAAAUUAUCAAAUAUAAUAUAUAUAUAUUUAUCACAAUAUAGAGCAUCUCUAUAUGAGCACAUAGAUCCCAAGAACGGCCUAAUCGAAGGUUGAACACACCGAUACAUGCGUUCGGAGUGUGCAGCGCGGGAAGUGUGUGAGUAGGCUAGCUCGAACCAGUCUCAUCAAUCGAAAACCAAGUCAAGCAAGUCAACGGCUCGAACCUGAAUUAGGUUAACGGUCAAUCAGGUCAAGUUAUCGAGUCAAGUUGGGGGGGUCAAUGGGUCGGGUCGAACCCAUGAUGACAUCAACGUCGUGCGUGGGUGCACAUGAGGGUGCAUGCUCGAUGCAUGUCGCCACCCAACGGCACAUGGGGGCGCGUACGACUUCCCUCAGGGGCGCGUACGACUUCCCUCAGGGGCGCGUACGACUUCCCCUAGGGGCGCAUUGGCCACGGUUGUUCGUCUUGACAAGUCCGUUCCGUUGUACGAAAAAAGGCAAAAUUCGUAUGUCCAAGUUCUAAACUAUGGCUAAUCCGAUACCACAUGUUAGACAUGAAAGCGCAUGUUAGACAUAAAAGCGCAUCCCAAGAUUUCCAUAACUAGAAACACGAACACAUAUAAUUGAAUAGAGAGAUCAAAGCACCUAAUUUGUACUAUCAUUAUUUAUGCAGAAUAGCAACAAUCCAAACUCAAGAACUUCUCCACAGUUGCCCUAUUUAUCACUGACUUAAUGAGACGACUCCUCACCCUUUGUGCUUAGUAAACAAUCUUUUGUGAGGAUAAUUGUGUGUGUUAAGGUUAGAUGAGAGACUUGAGUAGGAUUUAUAGAGUUUCCAAGCAAGUCUUCUCAUUAUGAAUCGGGCUUAACUUGGCCCAUACUAGCCAGCCCCAAAUUAGAUUAAUUAAAAAAAACUCUAUAUCUCACCUUAUUAGACCAAUAUUGUAAAACGGUAAAUUACAAUAUCAAUUAAUAUAGUCCACGUUAAGAAAGCUCUUACAAAUAUUAGUAAUAAAGAUAUGCUUAUACAGGAAAUUUAGAGUAGUGUACGGUGCUUGAGAUCUGAUCUUGGUUCUUCCAUUCAUGUGAAAUGAAACUUGGUUGAAUAGAAGACAAGAAGGAAGUGAACAAAAUGAUCAAUUGUGGGAUAUAGAUAUCCUCAUUUUUGUCUUCACUUGUUACUUGUUAGUGUUGCCGACAUGGAGAAAAAAGUCCUAUGAGACCUUAUGGAGAAGAAACUUAAAAGAGAAAUCAAGUGAUAAUUUGAUAUUGGAUGUUCCAUUGCAUUUUACAUUGCAAGAGAAUUUGACAGCACACCCGUUGCUGUUCUACUUCGUCUUGCAUAGUAAGCUCUGCUAUUCUAUCUGCAGUUGCCUUUACAAGGGUUUGCACUGGUGAUGCCAGUGGCUUCCGUGCUGAAGUUGUGAUUUAAAUGGCUGCACAUGCCACAGGUUUACUCAGAGAGCCGAGGAUUUCAAUGAAAUUUGAACAUCCAUGGGACUCGAAAUAUUUACUACUUUUUUUGUCUAUCUUCCUUUCGUUAUCUUUGUCCGUAACCAUGUCGAUACGAAAUAGAAUAGUUUUGGUAAUUUGCAAACGCAGGAGAGGAAAUAGCGUAGUUGAAAAGUGAAGUCACUGCUUGGUAUUAUGCUAGGUGAGUGUUUGGUACAAUUUACCAUCAGUUUAUCUGAGGCCAGGGUAACAUCUCACUUUCUUUUUCUAUACAAAAAGGAAGAUCUUGUUCUACUUUCCACGUGAGUAACAAAUCAUUGGCGGCGUAAUAUUUACAAUCUAUAGGCCUUUUAUGGAUGAGCCGCAAGCUCUGGUGCUUGCGUUUUGCCAAUGUCAUGGCUAUUGGAGUAAUUGUGUCUCAGAAUAGCCUCCAUUUGCUUCAUUUCAAAAUUCUGCUGACAAAAGACCGUUCUUUCUUGAUGCUUUGUUUCACCAAAGAAAAUGGUAGGUGGACUUAAAAAUGUUUUAUCGAGAGGCAAGGGUUCGAUCUUUUGUGUAGUUCAACUGAAAUGUGGAGAUCAGAACUCUUUCGAUGCCGACCUUUGAAUGGCAACAGUUCAGAAUGCCAACGUCUUUCGUUGUUUUAUGCCAGCUUAGUUCAGGGCCCAAAUCGCUGGUAGAUCGUAUGGCGGGCUCCGCAUAUGUUGCUGCCCUUUCCUGUUCUUCAUAGCUUGAUGGAAGCAAAUCGUGUUCUGCAUUUGCAUUUGCGCUCAUCGCCUUCCUCUUACGUCCAUAUUUUUUGGCUGUUCUUUUUGUAUUUUUACGGGGGAAACGUUUCGUGGAUACGACAAUGAUUUCCGGAGGGGUGCAGUAGUCGCCACGCCUAAAAUUUUCAAACAUCGCUAUAACAGACGACUCCAAUACGAUGGAAGACAAAAAGGAAAAACGAGGUCACGAGCCAAUCCAAACAGGCUCUCUCCAGAUGCAUGUGUCAACAUCAAAUUUCCUGAAGAAAGCGUCCAAACUGCUUACCAUCUUUGAUGUCAUGGCCUACUUCUGGCAUCCAAACUCCAUUCACUCAUGAAAUCUGAAAAAAAUAUAAAGUUCAUAUCCUGUCUAUAAUGGAUGCGAUAAUAGGUAUCCAAAGCAAGGCCCGCUGGCUAGUAGUGGUGGCAAACAGGUAGAGAGAUCGGACCGGAUAUUUCGAUUACUCUAAAUGAAAUUUACGUUGUUUUCAUUUUUUGGCCAUCGAAGUUCUUCAAAUGAACAGCGACUCAAUCAAUUUCAACCGAAUUGAUGCCACUGGAACUAAUAUCUGUCUACUUCCACAUUGCAGGAUUUAUAUUGGGUAGAGUAAGUCAUCUGCGAAGGUCCUUGAUUAGGAAGUAACGAUGCUCUUUGAAUAAUUUGCAAAGAUAAUAGAAAUUGAUUAUUUAAACGAAAAUUUGAUGUCGGUAACUCACUUCAAUAGAAGUAAGUAACAAAAAAUUGAAAAAAGAAAUCAAAUAGACAAGAACUGGUAACUUGAUUAGAGAAAAGCUCUAAUUAAAAAAUAAAAACAAAAUAAGCAUUGGUAAAUAACUCAAGCGAGAAUUGAUAACUCAAAUUCUUUGAUUAUUUAACCAGAAAAACAUCAGCAAGUUAUCAAAACAAUGGUUAAUAAAUUCAUAUAGGAGCAGAUAAAUUUAGAGUUUUGAUAAUAAAGUAAGACAAAUAAAAGUACAUAAAAAGAUAAGAAAAAUUAAUUACUUGUGAUUCGUCAGGAAGAGUCGGUAGAUUCAUAAAAAUGUCAAGAAAUUAGCACGUGGGAAGAACUACUUUCCAUCGUUGAAUGAAAUGAUGGGAACCUUCCGGGCAUCAGCUAGUGAUGCUGUUUUUACUGUGCUCCCCGUGUCUCUUUCAGGUCAUUUUCUCGUCACUUUCGCGUUGCCUUCCGUGGCUUGCGCGCCAUACGCUCUCUCUAAAUUACUAAAUUACUUCCGGGGCUGGGGGAGUCUUCUUUAUGUAAACAGGAACUCGAGAAUACAAAACGACCCCCACGCCGUGCACUUCCAUAUAGAUUCUACGGUCGACCACUCAUCUCGUCGCGUGCAUACUUGACUUGGACUUUCUAGGAAUCCAAACCUGACCAUCGGACCACGAUGAUAGCCGACCCCAGUUACGAAUUUGUCCUGUCCUUAGUCAAGCCGCCGGAAACCAAACCAAAAAAAAAAAGAAAAAAAAAUCGUUGGGCCCCGCAAGCCUAGUGGCAGUUUUGUCGAAUUUAUAAAGGGCAUCUCCGCUCUCCGAUUUUUUAAACUAAAAACUAAAGUAUAUUCAACGGUGUUUAACUCCACCUCCGAUCGCGGCGUACCCCGUCAAGGGUGGUAGUUUGACCAGACGACGAAGGGAGUGGCUGCUCCUUUCUUCCGGUCCGCCUUUUGAAGCUCCGUUCACGGCGUCUCCAUCUUCUCCCUCCUUGAACCAUCUCCACCUCCUCCUUUGAUGCUCCCCAUCUCUUCUCUCCGACAGAAGAGUAAAGCAAGAAUCGCACCCAAGAAGUCAAAGAUGAAUCUUGAAUCGGCGUCGCCCGCUGCCAUCUCCCUGUUCUUCGCAGUUCUUUCUCUCACUGCUCUCUCCCCAGCUUCCGCCGCCGCCCCCGCCGCCGCCACCAACGGAUCGACAUGCCCUCUGGAUCUCAGCUACGUGCGCACAAUCCCUUGGAACAGUUCGAAUUGCCAACACCCCAGCUUCGAACCCAACGCUUCCCUCAGCGACAAUUCUAAGAACCCCUGUUGCCAGAACCUCCUGUCCCUCUUCGGCGUUGGUUUGGCUCAGAGCCUCCGACAGACUUCUCUGUUCCAACUCCCAGACCUCAACUCCUCCAUUUCUUGCCUCCAAGACUUUCAAUCCGCCCUCACUUCUCUCUCUCUCGCCACCGAUCUUGUUUCCCACUGCCUCGACCCUUCGCAGUUCCUCAUCACGCCCUACUCUUGUGCCCACAUUCACACUACGCAGGACUGGGUCAGGGAACUUGGCAACUCAACGAUUCUUGAUUCGGCCUGCAAGCCCGACCUCAAUGUUUUGACCUACUGUGACCAGUGCGUGUCUGCUGGUUUGAGCGUCCAAGCCGAGCUGCAAUCCAUCAGUGGUAACAAUCCCAAUACUACGGAUUGCUUUUAUUUCACUAUUCUGUAUGCUGCUGGUAUUGUCAAUGCUUACGGGCCCAAGAGUAAUGGCGCGCUGACGUGCAUUAUGGCAUUGUCAAUCAAUAAGCAAGGGAGUUCGGCUGGUAAACGGCACACUAAUCUCGUUUUUGGCUUGACUGGNNNNNNNNNNNNNNNNNNNNNNNNNNNNNNNNNNNNNNNNNNNNNNNNNNNNNNNNNNNNNNNNNNNNNNNNNNNNNNNNNNNNNNNNNNNNNNNNNNNNGCUGGGUUUGUACUUUUGGUAUGAUAGGAUGAGUAAGAGGAGGAGGAGAAUUCAGGGGUCUAAUGCAGAUUUUAGUCUUGACCAGGAGGAAUCAGGGUCUAGGGCAAGGCCAAGGCCUAAUACGGGGUCUAUUUGGUUCAAAAUUCGUGAUCUUGAGAAAGCAACCAGCAACUUCUCACAGAAGAAUUUCAUCGGGCGGGGUGGUUUUGGAUUGGUUUUCAAGGGAGUUCUAUCUGAUGGGACGGAGGUUGCUGUCAAGAGAAUUAUCGAAUCAGAUUUCCAGGGGGAUGCUGAGUUUUGCAACGAGGUCGAGAUUAUUAGCAAUUUGAAGCAUAGGAAUUUGGUGCCACUUAGGGGAUGCUGUGUGGUAGACGGAGAUGAUAAUGAUGAUUAUGAUGAAAUGAGUGGCCAGAGAUAUCUUGUCUAUGAUUACAUGCCAAAUGGUAAUCUCAAUGAUCAUCUUUUCCCAUUGCCUGAUAAUCAAAGUGGGAAGAAGACAUUGACCUGGCCUCAAAGGAAAAACAUUAUUUUGGAUGUGGCAAAGGGGCUCGCUUAUCUGCACUAUGGGGUGAAACCUGCAAUAUAUCAUAGAGACAUUAAAGCGACAAACAUUUUGCUGGAUGCAGACAUGAGGGCAAGAGUCGCAGAUUUUGG
rnacentral:lncRNA from 1 species